rnacentral:lncRNA from 1 species
GGGACAUUGCACAGUUAGGAAUGGGGCUAUGUAGAAUAAGUAGUUAUUUUCAGAAUGUAGAUAUAUAGUAUAUAGUGUAAAUAGGGAUGAAUAAUUACUGAAAAGGUGGUUUAGCAGAUAAAAUGGAUGAAUAGUCAGGAAAAGUAAUUAUCAUCUAUAGUAUAGGAAUUGGUAUCUCGGAGUAUGUAGAAUAAGUAGUUAUUUGCUGAUUUGUAGAUACUUAGUUUAUAGUGUAAACAAGGAUAGAUGACUAUUAGAAAGAUAGUUCAGUAGUUAAAAUGGAUGAAUAGUUAGGAAAAGUAGUUUUCAUUAGAGAUGUAGCAGUUGGUAUCUUGUGGUAGGAUAAGGAGGAUGAGAGAGAGGAAGAAACCGCCAUUACUGUGAUAGUGUGAGCCGGGAUAAGCUUGGUGCUACCUCUUUUCUUUUGUUGUUAUGUUCUUUGAAAUAAGAGUAUU